rnacentral:rRNA from 1 species
UCUGCCUAGUAGUGGGGGAUAACUUGCCGAAAGGUAAGCUAAUACCGCAUACGUCCUACGGGAGAAAGCAGGGGACCUUCGGGCCUUGCGCUAUUAGAUGAGCCUAGGUCGGAUUAGUUAGUUGGUGAGGUAAUGGCUCACCAAGACCGCGAUCCGUAACUGGUCUGAGAGGAUGAUCAGUCACACUGGAACUGAGACACGGUCCAGACUCCUACGGGAGGCAGCAGUGGGGAAUAUUGGACAAUGGGGGAAACCCUGAUCCAGCCAUGCCGCGUGUGUGAAGAAGGUCUUAGGAUUGUAAAGCACUUUAAGUUGGGAGGAAGAGCAGUUAACUAAUAUUUGACUGUUUUGACGUUACCGACAGAAUAAGCACCGGCUAACUUCGUGCCAGCAGCCGCGGUAAAUACGAAGGGUGCAAGCGUUAAUCGGAAUUACUGGGCGUAAAGCGCGCGUAGGUGGUUCGUUAAGUUAGGAGUGAAAGCCCCCGGGCUCAACCUGGGAAUUGCUUCUAAAACUUGGCGGGCUAAAGUAUGGUAAAGGGUGGUGGAAUUUCCUGUGUAGCGGUGAAAUGCGUAGAUAUAGGAAGGAAACAUCAGUGGCGAAGGCGACCACCUGGACUGAUACUUGACACUGAGGUGCGAAAGCGUGGGGAGCAAACAGGAUUAAAUACCCUGGUAGUCCACGCCGUAAACGAUGUCAACUA